CGCUCAGCCACGGCGCGCGCGCCCUGCUCAUCCGCCUGCUGGAGCCGGAGCCGCGCGCCCGCCUGCGCUCGCUGCUCGCCCUCCAGCAGCAGCCCUUCUUCAAGGACUUCUCCUUCGUCGACGCCAGAUCCAAGAAGUUUCAUCCACUCCAAAUAUUGGAAAAAUACUUUCCUGAUGGGCCUGUAACAUCAUCUGACUUUGUGUCAGAUGAUACUUCAUUUAGAGAUUUUUCUCCAGACUCAAAAUGAUGGUAUUUUGAUCUGUGUUUCCUUCAGAAGUGGCAGUUUUGCAUCAAUAAGGAGGUAUCAUUUAUUUUUAUGUAAUCAUACAAUACAAACAGUUUCUGCACUAUGGACAGAAAUUGUCAUCUGUGAAUACAAGAAGUUACCAAAAGAACUUUUAGGUACUAACAAAGUGUAACUUUUGUCAAUUAUGCUUUCUUUUAUUGUUACCUCUUUUAAAUGUUACCAAAUGUCUAAAAUAAUGCAAACCACCAAUGCAAUAGGUAUAUAUUUUCCAAACAGUUUGAGUAAUGACUGUGGAUCAUAACAUUUUUUUUCUUUUCUGUUUUUGAGCUUUUAGUUUCAGUGUUUUUGAUGUUAACUGUUAUUACCAUCAUUAUUUCAUAUUUACUUAGAAAAAUGAAGAAUUUCAUAGUACUAACUUUGCGCCUUCUCCUCCGUUUCCUUUUCCUUGUAAUUUGUCAUACUGAAAAUUCUUGUUGAAAAAAAUUUGAAUUCACUUUUAUUAGCAUAUCUAGUGGUUUAAUUGUUUAUGCAGGCUCGGUGUUACUUGUAGAGAUUAUUUGAAACACUAUAAUUUUAAUUUUUUGUACCUUUGCUUGAAAAGUUACACAUAUUAAAUUUUUCAGUGGACUUAGAAGUUACUGAUUCAUGUGCUUAUAACAUUUAAUCAUAUAAAUCUUAUACUGUUUGUUAUUUCAUGACAAAUGAUUUAUACUAUUUUCCAUAAUUUAUCCAGCCAGUCUGUAAAAGAAUAAAUGCUCAUUGGUUUAUGGCAAUACUGGUGACACAGAAUUUACUCUGGCUGCAGUAUGGCGAUAAUGCUCAUUUUUCUAGUUUUUUGUAUCCAAUGCUUUGUAUUAUGUUUCCUCCGAAUAUCAGAUUUUCUUAUCUUUGUACUCAUCCCAUAGCAUUUCUGCCUGCCAUUUCGAGUAGAUAUUAGAUUCAUAAAUAAAUGUCUUUGUUUUUAUCUCAGUGUGUGUUGUUGACAGAUAUUGAUAAAUAUUCCCUAUUGUAGAUUUAUAAGUUCCAAAGUGAUUAAUAUAUGUGUAGUAUAUGUUAAGUAGGUCCACACCAGCUAUUCAGAGGAACAAAAUAUUUAUAGUCACUGUGUCAUUAUAUCAGUGAAUGGUAAAGCUUUUGUUUUUUUGAAAUGAAAGUAAACAGGCAUACCUGUGAUGCAGCAGUUUAUAUAGUAUAACAGUACCUAUUGUAAACAACCAUACUAUUCAGUCACAUAUCAUAUGGUGUAAACUAGAAAUGAAAGACUUCCUUCAGCUUCAAUAUUUUUGGUUGCAAAAAUUCUGCACAUCUAGCAAACAUAUGAGGCCUUAUUCUCAGGGAUUAUUUUACGACUGUAUGUUUAACUAUGGUAUGGAAAAAUGUGUGAGAAAUAUGCAAUAUAUAUUUUAACAAUGCAUGAAGCACAAAUGUAUCUUAUGCCACAAAAAGAGAGAAGUUGGGACAGUAUAUUCACUUCUAUUAGAGGAAUGUAACAUUAAUUUAAAUGAUUGUAAAACUUUUGAAAUUGUGCAAAUUAGGUACAGUAGUCCACAGUAUUUCCUCUGAAACCAAUAUAUUGUGGUAUGUUGAAUUUUUUAAAUGUCUUUCAUUUGUGGUGUUUGGAUUUUUUGCCCUAUUUCAGUAUUACUAAUUUUGUUUCCGUCCAUCAAAAAUUACAUGUCUGAAUCAUUCCAUAAGAAAUGUCAAUACUUAUAUACUUGAUGUUUUUGAAGAUGAUUCCUAUGCUAGUGCCUCAUUAUGGUAAUACUCAGUCUUGUGAGAUUACUAGUAUUAAACAUAUAAUUUUUAGCUUAUAUCUUACUACACUACAGUGUUGCAAUGUAUUUAAAUUAUAAUGCUUGUGGAUGUGAUAUUUUCAGGUUGUGUUUCACUAUAGGGGACAUUUUACAUUUGUUACACUGUGUGGCAGAUCCUUAAUCUAUGUGUUCUGUACAGUAUUAAGGUCUAUCGCUUUCUCCACUUGGACAAGUUCUGCACUUUUUUUCAUAAAUACUAUGUAUUUUCUAUU